AAGGAAAUACACGAGCACUACAUCAUCUGGAGCUAAUGAUGCUGCCGAGCCCUGGACGCGGCAGCCACGAGUAAUGACCGCAGCAGCCCCGCCCACCGCCAUCACUGCUCCCUGGGCGGCCCCGCACGUUAGACAAACCCGAGAACUGUAAUUCCCUGUGCUCGUUAGGCCGCCUCGCACACGUCACGGGCUCGGCUGAGGGGUAUAUAUACCUGGGACGGCCACAGAAGACAGUAGUAUCCUCGACACAAGGCUAAAAACAGCAAUGGCGAGAAGGCAAACUUUGAGGAGUCUUCUCAUACUCCUCAUACUUACCAGUGACGUGCUCGCCCACGUCAUCAAGAUGACGGAGUCCUUCCGAGUUCCAGCUGGCCCUGGACACUCGAUGGACUCUGACCUGCAGGACCUUCCCUCCGCUAAGGACACGGUGGAAUCCAGCUUGGCAUCUCGCGAGGUGCUGGCGAGGUUCCUCCGUGUCGCGGACAGCAACGGACUGCACUCUGGCCCUGGUCUCGAGACGAUUCGAGACCGAGCCAGGCAGGCGAAAAUUGCGGCGGGCGUUUUAAGUGGGAUAAUCCACCGACGGAGGGCCCUGGGUGACACGGAUAACGAAGGUCUUACGCCUAACUGGUUCUCUCGCCUGGCCGAGAGAAAUGUUAUUUUUAUCACCAGGGUCUUCAGAUCUCGGCGGUGGGGGAGGUACAGGUACACGAUGAGUGUGUCCUCCCUCAUACUCUUGGUGUCCACGAUCACGCAAGUGUACCUGGACAGGCAAGGUAUGGGGGAUAUCGGCGACACCUCGACUUACCUGGAUUUCUACUGGCUCCUGUACGACGUACUUAAUGAGGUCAAAGAGUUUGCGGACUCGAAUUGCUAUUACCCCACCUAUUGGCCCGCCGCGUUGCUCGCCCCCGACCACUGCAAUCCCUACCGCCUGGUGGAGGAGACCCGCCGUGCCUUGGAAAACAGAGGUGGUGAAAUUCAGACAGAAUUUAGGUCAUUUACUAAAUCUGGGGAUUUGGUGUUGAGGAUAAAAAAUAUCGUGCUUGAGAGACCCUAAGAAAUGACCUCUUUGUUAGUGUCUUCCUAACAUUAUUUUUUAUCUGCGGCAACUAAGUCUCCUGGAAAGUGACGCCUGAAUUGUGUUUAAACUUCCUGCCUCAGGAUUUCCAAGGCUUGCGUGCGGUGUUGCCUCCACCAGGCGGAUGGGAUGAUGGGAUCCAAACCCGUUGCUGACUCCACAGAGUGGAAGGAACUGCCUGCACCUCCUUUGUUUCUGCGGUAACGUGCGGGGAGGAAAUUUAAGCCAUUGCUGCCAUCCGGGGUUGUGAGGACUGACCUGAAGGACCUUCCCUCCAUGAUGGUCACGGUGGAAUCCAUCCUGAUAACACAGAUGCUCCUCUCCAUGCUGACUUGGGCAACGAAAGCCACUGCCUCGCCACGGGAGUGAGAGGAACUGACCUGAACAUCGCCUUCCUGCUUGCUGUAGGGAAAGCCUCUGCUGCUGGCCCUGCUGGAGAAAGUCUACCGUCUACGUCAUUGUGCACCAGUACCCAAGACGGCCAGGCAGCUGGGAACACAAGCCACCACAGGAAGUCUGCACCCACGCGGUCAUUCUCCAAAAUGGCGCAUCGAGUCGGUUGUUCCCUGAAUCCCCUGCAAAGCCUUCUCUCUGUGAUGGCCACGGUGGAAUCUAACAUAAUGGCACAGCCGCUGGCGAGUGUUGGAGUCUGACUACUCUCUGGCCCUGAGCUCGAGACUUCAGAUGAAGCCAGACAACCGAAUAUCUCUCCUGCUC